rnacentral:rRNA from 1 species
GACGAACGCUGGCGGCGUGCCUAAUACAUGCAAGUUGAGCGCUGAAGGUUGGUACUUGUCCCGACUGGAUGAGCAGCGAACGGGUGAGUAACGCGUGGGGAAUCUGCCUUUGAGCGGGGGACAACAUCUGGAAACGAAUGCUAAUACCGCAUAAAAACUUUAAACACAAGUUUUAAGUUUGAAAGAUGCAAUUGCAUCACUCAAAGAUGAUCCCGCGUUGUAUUAGCUAGUUGGUGAGGUAAAGGCUCACCAAGGCGAUGAUACAUAGCCGACCUGAGAGGGUGAUCGGCCACAUUGGGACUGAGACACGGCCCAAACUCCUACGGGAGGCAGCAGUAGGGAAUCUUCGGCAAUGGACGAAAGUCUGACCGAGCAACGCCGCGUGAGUGAAGAAGGGUUUCGGAUCGUAAAACUCUGUUGGUAGAGAAGAACGUUGGUGAGAGUGGAAAGCUCAUCAAGUGACGGUAACUACCCAGAAAGGGACGGCUAACUACGUG